GCCAGGGAAGGGUAAGGAACCUUGGGGAACAUUCUCAAAAGAGCUGUGUAUUUCUAAAAUGUCUCCAUGUUCAAUGGACAGGACACCCAGAACAGCAAAAUAAAUAACAUCUACUGCAGAUGAGCUUAAGAGCACAGAGCCCAGGCAGAACAAGUGGUUCAAGCCUUCAAUUCCAGGAGGAUGGCAAGUUCAAGGCCUACCUGGGCUACAAGUUGAGCUCCAUUUGCUGGAAUUCUAUAGAGAGAAACGCACCAAGAACUUCUGGUGGUGUGCUGCAGUUUCUUGCCACUUCCGAGGAUCGGGCUGAUUGCAGAGUGAUGCCAGCUGAGACAGAAGUGUGUGCUGAUGCAAGAUCCCAGGAGAACACGUAAUGUUUGGAGGAUAUAAAUAGGACUCUACCAACAGUGAUGGAGGCUGAGCUAGGCUUGCGAUGCUUGUUGGUCUCUUGUCUUCGCUGAUCUUUGAUUCACCGAGAGAGGUACAGCUAAGAACUUCUUUUGGCAUUCCUCCUGGUCCCUCCUGCUGAGGCUGAGGCCAGGUUGUUUGUGCUAGGUCACGCCACCUCUGCUGAUUCAUGUUUGCUAUCCCAACUCUACUGAACUGGACUGCUGUCAUAUCCCUGAAGCGUUCGCAAAUGGAUCAAGCUGCCACUGCUAACCUGUGAACUAAACUGCCGAUUUCCAGACAACACAGACAAGAGUUGCUUCAAAGGACCUUUCUAAACAGGUCCAAUUCCUCUGUAUCCUUUCUUUCCCAAUACCUCUGGUGGGUGGUGGACGACAAGGGAGGUUAAAACAUUUAAGAACCAUCAUUAAAAAAAAUAGGUUUUGAAAACAUUAAAUUCUCAGGUGCCUCAUGCUAUGUUGUAGGAGCCAUUCCGGACUUCCUGGUCAGCAGGAUGGAAGUCUGUUCCAGGUAGUAAACAAGCCCAUGUUUGGCGGAUGGCCCGCCCUUAAUCCCUGAUUGGCUGAGCAAGCCUGCCUGGUGAGGUGAUGUGACCUGUGGUGAUUGGUGGGGGCGUGGUUGUGGCUGGAGUGGAAAAAAGCACUUGUAACUAGAGAGGCUGGGGGAUUUAAAAUAAGUAGCUGCCUGAGUAAACUACAUUAAGAAGAACCGGUGGUUGCGUCUUUCUUGCUGGUCGAGUGGGACACGACACAAUGUGUUUUCACACUUCACUAAUGCGAUGGCGUGUAUGGGUCUGGCUCAUUCAGAACCAAUGUGCAGCGAAGUCGCGUGAAACAACCUAGGUAAACAUUGUCAGAG
rnacentral:lncRNA from 1 species